rnacentral:lncRNA from 1 species
CCUCCUCAAGUCGGCCUCUCCGGACCCACCUGCAGCGUCCCGGCGUCCUCUCCGGGCCCAGCUCUUCCUCCCGGCUGCGUCUCCAGGCCCGACUCCGGCCUCCCAACAAGGUCUUUGGACUCAGCUCCCGCCCAGCUUCCAGCGGCCCUGGUAGGCCCACAACUUCCUGAAGCCAAGCUCCCCAGGCCCAGCUCCGGCCUCACGGUGGCCUCUCCAGGCUCAGCUCCUGCCCUCCGACGGCGUCUCCAGGCCCCAAACGGCCUCCGGUCGGUGGGCUCCUCUAGGCCCAGCUUGGGCCUCCCGGCAGCCUCUGCAGGCCCAAAUCGUCCUGAAGUCGGCCUCUCCAGGCCCAGCUCCAGCCUCCCGGUGGCCUCUGCAGGCCCAAGUCAUCCUCAGGUCAGCCUGGAAGUGGGCCUGGAAGAGCUGCAAGUCGGCCUCCCCGGGCCCAGCUCCGUCCUCUCGGCGGCCUCUCCAGGUGCAAAACUUCCUCGAGUCAGCCUCUCCAGGCCCAGCUCCUCCUGCCUCCCAGUGGCCUCUUUCGGCCCAGCCCAGCUCAUGGCUCUCGGCGGUCUUCCCAGGCCCCGCUUUUGACUUUUGGUGGCCUCUUCAGGCCCAGAACUUGACCUCCAGUCGGCCUUGGCAGGCCCGGCCUCCUGCCUCUCGAAGGUCUGCAUGGGCCCGGCCU